rnacentral:rRNA from 1 species
UGAGGAAUAUUGGUCAAUGGGCGGAAGCCUGAACCAGCCAAGUCGCGUGCGGGACGAAGGCCCUACGGGUCGCAGACCGCUUUUGCGCGGGGAUAACGGCCGCCUCUUGAGGCGGCGUGAAGGUACCGCGCGAAUAAGGAUCGGCUAACUCCGUGCCAGCAGCCGCGGUAAUACGGAGGAUGCGAGCGUUAUCCGGAUUUAUUGGGUUUAAAGGGUGCGCAGGCGGCGCGCCAAGUCAGCGGUCAAAGUUCCGGGCUCAACCCGGUGUCGCCGUUGAAACUGGCGUGCUCGAGUGCGUGCGAGGAAGGCGGAAUGCGUUGUGUAGCGGUGAAAUGCAUAGAUAUGACGCAGAACUCCGAUUGCGAAGGCAGCUUUCCAGCGCGCUACUGACGCUGAGGCACGAAAGCGUGG